GUUUUUUGUGGGAACAUACAAUGUAAAUGGGCAGUCCCCCAAAGAAUGCCUCCGGCUGUGGCUGAGCAAUGGUAUCCAGGCUCCAGAUGUCUAUUGUGUAGGGUUCCAGGAACUUGAUCUGAGUAAGGAAGCUUUUUUCUUUCACGAUACCCCAAAGGAGGAAGAGUGGUUCAAAGCUGUGUCAGAGGGUCUUCAUCUAGAUGCCAAAUAUGCAAAGGUGAAGCUUAUCCGACUGGUUGGGAUUAUGCUGCUGUUAUAUGUCAGACAGGAGCAUGCAGCUUAUAUCUCAGAAGUGGAAGCUGAGACUGUGGGGACAGGAAUCAUGGGGAGGAUGGGCAACAAGGGAGGCGUGGCGAUCAGGUUCCAGUUCCACAACACCAGCAUCUGCAUUGUGAAUUCUCACUUGGCAGCCCACAUUGAAGAGUAUGAGAGGAGGAACCAGGACUAUAAGGACAUUUGUUCUCGAAUGCAGUUUUGUCAGCCUGACCCAAGCCUUCCCCCUCUCACCAUCAGCAACCACGAGUGAGUCUGGGCUUCCACCCCAUGCGGUUUACCAUGAGUACGUAGAGUUGUGGGCUCUGUCUUUUCAUGGGGAGAUGCCUGGUGGUGGUUUCCUAUUGCUGCAGUGGUGGCAGCUGCCACCUCUUGGUU
rnacentral:sRNA from 1 species